rnacentral:rRNA from 1 species
UACAGAGGUCCCAAGCGUUGUUCGGAUUCAUUGGGCGUAAAGGGUGCGUAGGUGGCGCGGUAAGUCGGGUGUGAAAUCUCGGAGCUUAACUCCGAAACUGCAUUCGAUACUGCCGUGCUGGAGGACUGGAGAGGAGACUGGAAUUUACGGUGUAGCGGUGAAAUGCGUAGAUAUCGUAAGGAAGACCAGUGGCGAAGGCGGGUCUCUGGACAGUUCCUGACGCUGAGGCACGAAGGCCAGGGGAGCAAACAGG